UACGGGGGGAGCAAGCGUUGUUCGGAUUUACUGGGCGUAAAGGGCGCGUAGGCGGUCAGCACAAGUCAAUUGUGAAAUCUCCGAGCUUAACUCGGAAAGGUCAACUGAAACUGUGCGACUAGAGUGCGGAAGGGGCAACUGGAAUUCUUGGUGUAGCGGUGAAAUGCGCAGAUAUCAGGAGGAACACCGAUGGCGAAGGCAGCUCGCUGGGACGGUACUGACGCUGAGGCGCGAAAGCGUGGGGAGCGAACAGG
rnacentral:rRNA from 1 species